rnacentral:rRNA from 1 species
UACAGAGGUCUCAAGCGUUGUUCGGAUUCAUUGGGCGUAAAGGGUGCGUAGGUGGCGUCGUAAGUCGGGUGUGAAAUCUCGGGGCUUAACUCCGAAACUGCAUUCGAUACUGCGGUGCUUGAGGACUGGAGAGGAGACUGGAAUUUACGGUGUAGCAGUGAAAUGCGUAGAGAUCGUAAGGAAGACCAGUGGCGAAGGCGGGUCUCUGGAAAGUUCCUGACACUGAGGCACGAAGGCCAGGGGAGCAAACGGG